AACGAACGCUGGCGGCAGGCUUAACACAUGCAAGUCGAGCGCCCCGCAAGGGGAGCGGCAGACGGGUGAGUAACGCGUGGGAAUCUACCCAACUCUACGGAAUAACGCAUGGAAACGUGUGCUAAUACCGUAUACGUCCUUCGGGAGAAAGAUUUAUCGGAGAUGGAUGAGCCCGCGUUGGAUUAGCUAGUUGGUGGGGUAAAGGCCUACCAAGGCGACGAUCCAUAGCUGGUCUGAGAGGAUGAUCAGCCACACUGGGACUGAGACACGGCCCAGACUCCUACGGGAGGCAGCAGUGGGGAAUAUUGGACAAUGGGCGCAAGCCUGAUCCAGCCAUGCCGCGUGAGUGAUGAAGGCCCUAGGGUUGUAAAGCUCUUUCACCGGUGAAGAUAAUGACGGUACCCAAAGAAUAAGCACCGGCUAACUUCGUGCCAGCAGCCGCAGUAACAC
rnacentral:rRNA from 1 species